rnacentral:rRNA from 1 species
CGAACGGGUGAGUAACGCGUGAGGAACCUGCCUCAAAGAGGGGGACAACAGUUGGAAACGACUGCUAAUACCGCAUAAGCCCACGGCUCGGCAUCGAGCAGAGGGAAAAGGAGCAAUCCGCUUUGAGAUGGCCUCGCGUCCGAUUAGCUAGUUGGUGGGGUAACGGCCCACCAAGGCGACGAUCGGUAGCCGGACUGAGAGGUUGAACGGCCACAUUGGGACUGAGACACGGCCCAG